GACGAACGCUGGCGGCGUGCUUAACACAUGCAAGUCGAACGGAAAGGCCCUGCUUUUGUGGGGUGCUCGAGUGGCGAACGGGUGAGUAACACGUGAGUAACCUGCCCUUGACUUUGGGAUAACUUCAGGAAACUGGGGCUAAUACCGGAUAGGAGCUCCUGCUGCAUGGUGUGGGUUGGAAAGUUUCGGCGGUUGGGGAUGGACGCGCGGCUUAUCAGCUUGUUGGUGGGGUAGUGGCUUACCAAGGCUUUGACGGGUAGCCGGCCUGAGAGGGUGACCGGCCACAUUGGGACUGAGAUACGGCCCAGACUCCUACGGGAGGCAGCAGUGGGGAAUUGUGCACAAUGGGCGGAAGCCUGAUGCAGCAACGCCGCGUGCGGGAUGACGGCCUUCGGGUUGUAAACCGCUUUCGCCUGUGACGAAGCGUGAGUGACGGUAAUGGGUAAAGAAGCACCGGCUAACUACGUG
rnacentral:rRNA from 1 species